rnacentral:tRNA from 1 species
GUCGUUGUAGUAUAGUGGUGAGUAUCCCCGCCUGUCACGCGGGAGACCCGGGUUCGAUCCCCCAACGGCG